UUCUUUAUAGUUUAACAACUAUAAUGCCGUACAUAGUAUGGCUGUUGUUAUUCUAAUUUUUUUGCGCCUGGACAAAUGAGCUCUGGCUUGCUACCUCAUUCGUCCAUUAAUGUCCUUUGCCUUACACCUCUUGCAAUGUGACGUCGAGUUGGG
rnacentral:snRNA from 1 species